UGGGGAAUAUUGGACAAUGGGCGCAAACCUGAUCCAGCCAUGCCGCGUGUGUGAAGAAGGCCUUAUGGUUGUAAAGCACUUUAAGCGAGGAGGAGGCUACUGAAGUUAAUACCUUCAGAUAGUGGACGUUACUCGCAGAAUAAGCACCGGCUAACUCUGUGCCAGCAGCCGCGGUAAUACAGAGGGUGCAAGCGUUAAUCGGAUUUACUGGGCGUAAAGCGCGCGUAGGCGGCUAAUUAAGUCAAAUGUGAAAUCCCCGAGCUUAACUUGGGAAUUGCAUUCGAUACUGGUUAGCUAGAGUGUGGGAGAGGAUGGUAGAAUUCCAGGUGUAGCGGUGAAAUGCGUAGAGAUCUGGAGGAAUACCGAUGGCGAAGGCAGCCAUCUGGCCUAACACUGACGCUGAGGUGCGAAAGCAUGGGGAGCAAACAG
rnacentral:rRNA from 1 species